UACGUAGGGGGCUAGCGUUGUCCGGAUUUAUUGGGCGUAAAGAGCGUGUAGGCGGCCAGGUAGGUCUGCUGUGAAAACUCGAGGCUCAACCUCGAGACGUCGGCGGAAACCAUCUGGCUAGAGUCCGGAAGAGGAGAGUGGAAUUCCUGGUGUAGCGGUGAAAUGCGCAGAUAUAAGGAAGAACACCCGUGGCGAAGGCGGCUCUCUGGGACGGUACUGACGCUGAGACGCGAAAGCGUGGGGAGCGAACAGG
rnacentral:rRNA from 1 species